rnacentral:lncRNA from 1 species
GGAGGGGAGAAGUAGAGGUCAAUAGAAGGGAGGAGGAGGUGGAAGAGAAAAACUAGGAGGAAAGUUGAGUUUGGGUUUAAAAAUUUUGAUUUGGAUCGAAUCAGUUGAAAAAAAAAAGAUUGUGAAUUAUUUCUUAUUUUUAAUAUCAUUUGAUAUAAAAGAUAAGGAUAUUUUUAUUUAAAUAGAAAAAAAAGACACACUAAGGUAAAAAUGAAUUAGAAGGG